CACCGGAAGGAACCAAUUCCGGACACGCUUUUCUCACUGGACCCAGCGCCUGGAAAGCCAUCCCUGCAGGGUGGGCUAAGCGAGCACUGCGUUCCUGGCACAGGGCUUCAGGUCUCCCUAACAGACCUUACGCUGAACCGCAGCCGCUUCGACAGUCUCUUUGCAGAGAUCCAGCGACGACUAUACUUGUCCAACAGCGGUGGCUUCACCAAUCCUGGGAGAAGCUAAUCGUUUUCUCCCCGUGCCCUGUCAGCCGCUCAUGCAGCCCAGGGAGGAAUUUUAGUAGCAACACUCCGGUUGUCACACCACUGAAAUUACCAAGCAACUCCAACUCAGAAGGACCACCAGGAAAAGGCAGGAAGAUAAUCACCAUCAGGUCCCAGCCCCUUUUUGUGACAAGGACUAGAGGGUUUGGCUCUGCAGUGGGCUGGCUCCCGCUGGGCUCACCUGUCCUAUAG
rnacentral:lncRNA from 10 species